rnacentral:misc_RNA from 1 species
ACACCCAUCAAGCCUGGCUUGGUAUUGGGCGACGGGACUUCCCCGCGCCCCGAUUUCGCCGGCUGGACGACCCCGAUCUCUCAAGCGUUGUACAAUCUCGCUAGCUAGACGGGCGGCCAUGCCGUUAAUUUUAAUCAAUUCA